AUUGAACGCUGGCGGCAGGCCUAACACAUGCAAGUCGAGCGGAGCGGCGGACGGGUGAGUAAUGCCUAGGAAUCUGCCUGGUAGUGGGGGAUAACGUCCGGAAACGGGCGCUAAUACCGCAUACUAUCAGAUGAGCCUAGGUCGGAUUAGCUAGUUGGUGUGGUAAAGGCCUACCAAGACGACGAUCCGUAACUGGGCUGAGAGGAUGAUCAGUCACACUAGAACAAGGACACGGUCCAGAAUCCGGCGGGAGGAGACAGUGUGGAAUGUUGGACAAUGGGCGAAAACCUGAACCAGCCAUGCCGGGUGGGUGAAGGAGGUCUUCGGAAUGUAAAGCACUGUAAGUUGGAAGGCGUUACCAACAGAAUAGGCACCGGCUAGCUUCGUGCGAGCGGCCGCGGUAAUUC
rnacentral:rRNA from 1 species